GGGCAUGGCGCAGCCUACACAUGCAGUCCGAACGGUAGCACAGAAGUAAGCUUGCUCCUCCGGGUGACGAAGUGGCGGACGGGUGAGUAAUGUCUGGGAAACUGCCUGAUGGAGGGGGAUAACUACUGGAAACGGUAGCUAAUACCGCAUAACGUCGCAAGACCAAAGAGGGGGACCUUCGGGCCUCUUGCCAUCAGAUGUGCCCAGAUGGGAUUAGCUAGUAGGUGGGGUAACGGCUCACCUAGGCGACGAUCCCUAGCUGGUCUGAGAGGAUGACCAGCCACACUGGAACUGAGACACGGUCCAGACUCCUACGGGAGGCAGCAGUGGGGAAUAUUGCACAAUGGGCGCAAGCCUGAUGCAGCCAUGCCGCGUGUAUGAAGAAGGCCUUCGGGUUGUAAAGUACUUUCAGCGGGGAGGAAGGCGAUGAGGUUAAUAACCUUGUCGAUUGACGUUACCCGCAGAAGAAGCACCGGCUAACUCCGUGCCAGCAGCCGCGGUAAUACGGAGGGUGCAAGCGUUAAUCGGAAUUACUGGGCGUAAAGCGCACGCAGGCGGUCUGUCAAGUCCGAUGUGAAAUCCCCGGGCUCAACCUGGGAACUGCAUUCGAAACUGGCAGGCUAGAGUCUUGUAGAAGGGGGUAGAAUUCCCAGUGUGGCCCUGCAAAUGCGGUAGAAAUCUGUUAAGAAUACCGGAGUCC
rnacentral:rRNA from 1 species